rnacentral:rRNA from 1 species
AUUGAACGCUGGCGGAAUGCUUUACACAUGCAAGUCGAGCGGCAGCGCGGGGGCAACCCUGGCGGCGAGCGGCGAACGGGUGAGUAAUACAUCGGAACAUGUCCAGUUGUGGGGGAUAGCCCGGCGAAAGCCGGAUUAAUACCGCAUGAGCUCUGGCGAGGAAAGCGGGGGACCGAAAGGCCUCGCGCGACUGGGUUGGCCGAUGUCCGAUUAGCUAGUUGGUGGGGUAAAGGCNCACCAAGGCGAUGAUCGGUAGCUGGUCUGAGAGGAUGAUCAGCCACACUGGGACUGAGACACGGCCCAGACUCCUACGGGAGGCAGCAGUGGGGAAUUUGGACAAUGGGGGCAACCCUGAUCCAGCCAUUCCGCGUGAGUGAAGAAGGCCU